rnacentral:rRNA from 1 species
AUUGAACGCUGGCGGCAUGCUUUACACAUGCAAGUCGAACGGUAACAGGCCGCAAGGUGCUGACGAGUGGCGAACGGGUGAGUAAUGCAUCGGAACGUGCCCAGUCGUGGGGGAUAACUACUCGAAAGAGUAGCUAAUACCGCAUACGAUCUAUGGAUGAAAGCGGGGGACCGUAAGGCCUCGCGCGAUUGGAGCGGCCGAUGUCAGAUUAGGUAGUUGGUGGGGUAAAGGCUCACCAAGCCAACGAUCUGUAGCUGGUCUGAGAGGACGACCAGCCACACUGGGACUGAGACACGGCCCAGACUCCUACGGGAGGCAGCAGUGGGGAAUUUUGGACAAUGGGCGCAAGCCUGAUCCAGCAAUGCCGCGUGCAGGAAGAAGGCCUUCGGGUUGUAAACUGCUUUUGUACGGAACGAAACGGCUCUGGUUAAUACCCGGGGCUAAUGACGGUACCGUAAGAAUAAGCACCGGCUAACUACGUU